CAGCAGCCGCGGUAAAACGUAGGUGGCAAGCGUUGUCCGGAAUUAUUGGGCGUAAAGGGCUCGCAGGCGGUUUCUUAAGUCUGAUGUGAAAGCCCCCGGCUCUACCGGGGAGGGUCAUUGGAAACUGGGAAACUUGAGUGCAGAAGAGGAGAGUGGAAUUCCACGUGUAGCGGUGAAAUGCGUAGAGAUGUGGAGGAACACCAGUGGCGAAGGCGACUCUCUGGUCUGUAACUGACGCUGAGGAGCGAAAGCGUGGGGAGCGAACAGGAUUAGAUACCCCGGUAGUCCCUGUCUCUUAUAC
rnacentral:rRNA from 1 species